GUUUUAGACUCUUCCUCUUUAUAAAUAAAAGGGAUCCGUGACUUGGUUUGUUUGUGGACAAACAAGUCAUACCUUGAUCUGCUAUGCUAUAGGUUUUUGUUUCCGUAUAGAAGAAAUGAUGCAAGUUUCCACGGCGUUUGAAGAGGAAGAUGAAGCGGAGGAUUGUCCUAGUUGUGAUUAGAACAACAUACUUUGCUCAAUCAUUGAAUCAAUGAUUUGCCAAGAAGCAACACUGUGGAUACAGAAUCAAAUAUACAACCCUUGCAAAUUAAACGUGAAAACCAGUUGCACCCACUUGCUUUUUCGUCCCUUCUUCCACCACCUCUUCCAAGUUUCUUCUAAUUCCUUUCCAUUUUCAAUAAAAGUUUUUUUAUUUAAAAAAAGGCCGUUGUGCUUGUUUCUCUGCUACAAGCUUCUAAAACUGCCACAGCCUCUGCAUGAUUGCCACGUAUCUGCCAUGCCGAGUUCCAUUUCUCUUUACAGCCGCUAUAAAUAGAGACCAUGCCCUCCAUUCCUCGCUGCAGCAGCUUAGAAGCUCCACCAUCAUCAGUUGACGGUCUGUUCUGUUCAUCUCUUUGUGUCUAUUUUCUCAGGAAAAUAGAUAGCAUGGAGAGGCAGCAGACUUUGAAACUUUGAUUGGAGGUCUACUUCUUCCUUAAAAGCAUGGGUGAAGGGAUGAUUUGAAUCAAACCAAACCCAGCUAAUAAAGGAUGAGUUAAGGCUUCGACCUUAGCUUAAGGCUCUGCCAUAGAAAUGGGUGUUGGCGUGGGAGAGUAACUAUAUCCAUAGAAAUGGUUAUGUUGUAUUACAUUGGAGACCUUUAUAAAAGUGUCUCUUGGCAUCACAAAUGUAAUAUUCAUGAAUAAAAUAAGUGUUACAAAUUUGAAUGCUUACCUUUCCGUA